rnacentral:rRNA from 1 species
UACGUAGGGGGCAAGCGUUGUCCCGGAUUUAUUGGGCGUAAAGAGCUCGUAGGCGGCUUGUCGCGUCGACUGUGAAAACCCGCGGCUCAACUGUGGGCUUGCAGUCGAUACGGGCAGGCUGGAGUUCGGUAGGGGAGACUGGAAUUCCUGGUGUAGCGGUGAAAUGCGCAGAUAUCAGGAGGAACACCGGUGGCGAAGGCGGGUCUCUGGACAGUUCCUGACGCUGAGGCACGAAGGCCAGGGGAGCAAACGGG